rnacentral:rRNA from 1 species
GACGAACGCUGGCGGCGUGCUUAACACAUGCAAGUCGAACGGAAAGGCCCCCUCUUGGUGGGGGUUCUCGGGUUGCGAACGGGUGAGUUACACGUUGGUGGUCUUCCCUGUUCUUCGGGAUUAGCUUGGGAAACUUGGUCUAAUACCGGAUAGGACCAUGGUUUAGUGUCUCCUUGUUGAAAGGUUAUUUUUUUUGUUCCGGAUGAGCUCGCGGCCUAUCAGCUUGUUGGUGGGGUAAUGGCCUACCAAGGCGUCGACGGGUAGCCGGCCUGAGAGGGUGGACGGCCACAUUGGGACUGAGAUACGGCCCAGACUCCUACGGGAGGCAGCAGUGGGGAAUAUUGCACAAUGGGCGCAAGCCUGAUGCAGCGACGCCGCGUGGGGGAUGACGGCCUUCGGGUUGUAAACUCCUUUCGUUAGGGACGAAGCCGCACUUUUUUUGGGUGUGGUGACGGUACCUUUGUUAAGAAGCACCGGCUAACUACGUG